rnacentral:rRNA from 1 species
AACGAACGCUGGCGGCAUGCCUAACACAUGCAAGUCGAACGAGACCUUCGGGUCUAGUGGCGCACGGGUGCGUAACGCGUGGGAACCUGCCCUUAGGUUCGGAAUAACUCCCCGAAAGGGGUGCUAAUACCGGAUAAUGUCUUCGGACCAAAGAUUUAUCGCCCUUGGAUGGGCCCGCGUUGGAUUAGCUAGUUGUUAGGGUAAAAGCCUACCAAGGCGACGAUCCAUAGCUGGUCUGAGAGGAUGAUCAGCCACACUGGGACUGAGACACGGCCCAGACUCCUACGGGAGGCAGCAGUGGGGAAUAUUGGACAAUGGGCGAAAGCCUGAUCCAGCAAUGCCGCGUGAGUGAUGAAGGCCUUAGGGUUGUAAAGCUCUUUUACCCGGGAUGAUAAUGACAGUACCGGGAGAAUAAGCUCCGGCUAACUCCGUG